AUCAGAGACAGGACACAGCCGCCAGGCUGAGCCCACAGGGCGCUCUCCCCUGCAUCUUCUGCCCGCUGGGCCAAAGCUUUGGGAUCCUUGGGGAAAGGGAAGUCAGUGCCACAGCCAGCCGCAGGACCUCUGAGAGUCCCCUCUCCUCUGGCUCUGCCCUCAGAGGUUAAGGAGGUGGGAGGCCCGUCCACCUUCAAGUGCUGAUUGUCCAAGCCCCGUGCUGACCCCCAGCAGACCCUCCUCCAGGGCCUGACGCCCACUCCCCACCUGGGCUGCCCGGAGCUGAGUAGCAGGACUCCCACCCAAGACGGUCUGGGAUUUGAGAACGAAGCUGAGGUGGUCGUGGAGCCCUGGCAGUGGUGGCCCAAGAUGCCUCUCUCCCAGGGCUCGGGGGCAGCGGGUGCACACAAAGGGCAGCGCCCCGCUCUGUACUCCUCUGUCCUGAGAUGUUCCACCUGUCAUCAGGACCCUGGGCCUUCAGAGACUUGAGCCCUCGCAGCUGGUCAGAGCUCAAGCAAUUAGAACAGGAAGAAGCUGCAUCUCAAGCUCCGAGGUCUGGAGAAGCACAGAUGCAAGGACAUUGCCGAGCAAAGCAUUUCCUUGAGAGGGCCUGGCAGGGCCCUGCCCAGGAGAGGCUGUGGAAAGCUGCCCUUCACUGAGUGCCACUGUGUGCCAGGCACGUGUCAUCUUUAAAACUCUCUUGUGAGGUGGGUGCUUCUGUGCUUUCCAGCAUUCAGGUGGGACACUGAGGCCCAGAGAGGGGAAGGCAGCUGUCCAACGUCACCAGGUUGGAUGUGGCAGAACCAAGAUUGGUACCUGGGAGCUCUGGCUUCGGAGAGCAUAAACUGUGCCCUGGCAGCAUAUACCCAGGGGUUCCCUGGGAAUGGAGACCUAUCAGAGCCCUGCCAGAGCUGAAGGGCCAACCUAGGGAGCCCUCUGGGUGCCCCUGGCCUCCCUUCCUGUCUCACUCCUCACUCCUCUGGCUCCCCACUUCUUCCAGGCCAAGGCCCAGAUGUGUGCUUCGUAAGACCUUACAGAUGGGCAGCGUCAUUUCUGGCUCCUGAGACACUCAUUCUUGGAGCCUCCCUGCUGGUACUGCGAGAAACCCCAAGGGCCUGCUGGAGAAGCCCAGGCGGAAGGGACCCUACCUGCCAACCACGUGAGGGAGGAAGAAAGCCCUGGCCGACUGCACACAGAGCAGAGCUGAGGGCUCCCCACCGAGCCCUGCCCACACCGCACACUGCACAUGAACAGACAUUCGGGGAUACUUGUUAUGCGGCUACAGAUAAGUAGAACGGGCCCGCCGCAAGGGGGACAAAGGGGGCCGGUCUGGUGGGACAGGUCAGGAGGGUGGCUUUGGCUGGACCUGGAGAUGCCCAGACUCCCAACAGGCCAGGGCAGGUCCCCGAGGCAGGGCUUGGAGAAGAAGUGAGCCCUGGGGCCGAGGUGGAGCUAAGGAGAGAGGACUGGAAGGGCUCCCUCCAAGCCCUCACCCCUUCGGGCAGAGGGCUAGCCCUGCUGGGCUGGCGAGCAUCUACAGGCCGCCAUGUCCCAAUGAAAGGAUGAAAGGAACCGCCCAGGCCCCCCCGCCAGCACCCCCUGAUGGUCUGGGUUCCCCAUCCCCUCAUGUCCCUGGCCUUCAGCCCCCACACUCUGCCUCUGACUAUCCUUUUGCGGGUCUGACUCCCUUGUCCUGGAGUGAUCUGUGCCAUGAGUCCCUGGACAUAAGAACGUGUCUGGAACUUGGCUCUGCUUGGAGCCCCCUCCUCCAGGCAGACGCCCCUGGCUGCUCCCACCCCCCCUGCGCUUGCUCUGCAGACAUUCACAGGACACUCGCACUUGCUCUCCAGUGGCUCCCGGGGCCGGGCUGGGGGCCGGGGGGGUUGGGGGACAGCCCUGCCUCCGCACCAGCCUGCGAGCUUCCUGAGGACAGCGCCCAUGCCCCUCUACUGCCCUCACCAAGCAGCUAGGCUGGACAUCAGGGUCCUCCUCCCUCCCCAGGGGGCAUUGGUAGGGCCCUCGAAGCUUGUGCCCCUGGAGCAGCUCCCAAGAAGACAGUCCUAUGAAUGCAGCUAUCAGUGACUUCAGGGCGAGGGACCCUGGCUGGGACGGGUGCCAGAGGGCAGAGGCCCCAGCUGGGUCCCUGGCUGGCCGGGUGGCCCCGGGUGCCUGGCGCACACUGUCUGGGCCCGCUCCCCUCUCUGGGAAAGGAGGGGGCGGAGGAGCUGAUUUCUGAGGUCCCUUCCAGCUCAAACACCUUAUGUUCUAUGAAAUCCGCGUGAACGUUGCCAUGGAGAUGUCACAGAGGAACUGCAGCAGCACAGAAUGUGACUUCCUUUCGAGUCACCUGAGGAAGCUGCUCGUGUCAGAGAAGCCCUCCCCCCACCGCCCCCAGAAGCCUGGGUGCACAGAGCCACACCGAGGGUCCUGCUCCCAAGAGGACACCAUCACCUCCCUCCCUUUCCCUCCCGUGGUCCUGAGGCCCCGCAGGGAGCGAGGGGUGGGUGUCCAUCCCUGCCCGAGGGGACAAGGACCUCUGUGGGAGGGCCGGAGCCCAGGGCUCUGCCCUUGCAGUUGGGCUUGCAAGGCCUGCCCUCUGGCCCUGCUUCCCACAGCUGCUCGGGUCCUGAUACCCAAGGACCCCAGGAGACCUCAGGACCCAAAAGUGUGCCCGCUGCAGAGUGGAGGCCUCCCUCUUCCCCAGACCCUGCAUUGAGGCCCCUGGUGGCAGGGACCCCUGGGCUUGGGCACGCAACACCCCCAGCUGCCUCACGGCUCCUGAGGGCCACGUGGGGCCUCGUGGCAGGGGAGGCACGAGUGGAAAGGAAGAAAAUGAGCCCCAGGGUAACCAUCACAACCACUGAUGCCUGAGCACUGGCAGCCCCUGGAGCAGACCGAGGGUUUCGUGGGCGUGGCCUCUUCUUCUUUUUGCUUAAUUAUAAAAAUGUGUUUUGCAGGCAUGUCAACGACACGAAAGGAAAAGGCACGGAUAAAUGCCGAGGUCCAGCCCCAGCAGCCAGGGAGUGCCGAAGGAGAGGAUGGGCUACAAACGGCGCGGAAAGAAUUGGAGCCAACUCCUCAGCUGCAUGCUGCAGAUGACCCAAUUUAUUAAAUGAAAAGCAUCAGUUUUUAUACCCUAUUACAAUCAGGAUUCGUGUAAGAUUUGACAUUAACAUUUGAUUUAAAGCCCUUUUGUUCCCUCCACCUGAGAUACAAAAAAAAAAAAAAAAAAGGUUAGUUAAAACAUGUUCCUUUCAACUUUAGAUUUUCCUUCAAGAUCACAAAGUUUCACGCCGUAUUUUUCUUAAAAGGUCAACAACAGUAGCUAUUCUAUUCUAUAUUAAGAACAAAGCUUUAAUAAGUAAUAAACUAUGAUACCUAACAUUCUUUAACUAAAGGUGUAUGUAGUUAACAAAAUGCAUGAAAGCCUUGGGCUCAUGACAUUCUUAAAACUACGAUUUAUUUGGCGCCAGCAAGCUAAGCAUUUAACCUAUUGUGCUGAUUUACGUAAGUUCCAAACCACCAAUUUCAAUAGAAAGGAGUAUUAUACCCAAAAAUUAACAAAUGCCCUCACAAGGGAUGAAAGUUACAGGUGACACUGUUAUUUGAUAAAAAAAUAUAUCUAUUAUAGAAAAUAGCAAUUUAUAGGCCAAACAACAUUUUUCCCAGCCCCCAAACUUCUUUUUAAGUAAAGGGACUGAAAUCAUAAGUUUCCCCUGUAUACUCUCACAAAAUAGGUGCCAUAAAUUGUUACUCCAAAACAAAGGCUUUUUCCAUUACAUUGUUUAAAUAACUU
rnacentral:lncRNA from 1 species